rnacentral:rRNA from 1 species
ACGAAGUUGCUAACGCUAUGCUUCCAGGAAAAGCCUCUAAGCUUCAGGUAUUGGAGAUCGUACCCUAAACCGACACAGGUGGUCAGGUAGAGCAUACCAAGGCGCUUGAGAGAACUCGGCUGAAGGAACUAGGCAAAAUAGUACCGUAACUUCGGGAGAAGGUACGCUCUUUGCUGUGAAGGACUUGCUCCGUAAGCAGCGAAGAGUCGCAGUGACCAGCUGGCUGCAACUGUUUAUUAAAAACACAGCACUCUGCAAACUCGUAAGAGGACGUAUAGGGUGUGACACCUGCCCGGUGCCGGAAGGUUAAUUGAUGGGGUUAGCGCAAGCGAAGCUCUUGAUCGAAGCCCCGGUAAACGGCGGCCGUAACUAUAACGGUCCUAAGGUAGCGAAAUUCCUUGUCGGGUAAGUUCCGACCUGCACGAAUGGUGUAAUGAUGGCCAGGCUGUCUCCAGCCGAGACUCAGUGAAAUUGAAAUUGCGGUGAAGAUGCCGUAUACCCGCGGCUAGACGGAAAGACCCCGUGAACCUUUACUAUAGCUUGGCACUGAACAUUGACCCUACAUGUGUAGGAUAGGUGGGAGGCUUUGAAGUUUGGACGCUAGUCCAGAUGGAGCCGUCCUUGAAAUACCACCCUUGUAUGUUUGAUGUUCUAACGUAGGUCCCUGAAUCGGGAUUGCGGACAGUGUCUGGUGGGUAGUUUGACUGGGGCGGUCUCCUCCUAAAGAGUAACGGAGGAGCACGAAGGUUGGCUAAGUACGGUCGGACAUCGUACGGUUAGUGUAAUGGUAGAAGCCAGCUUAACUGCGAGACAGACACGUCGAGCAGGUACGAAAGUAGGUCAUAGUGAUCCGGUGGUUCUGUAUGGAAGGGCCAUCGCUCAACGGAUAAAAGGUACUCCGGGGAUAACAGGCUGAUACCGCCCAAGAGUUCAUAUCGACGGCGGUGUUUGGCACCUCGAUGUCGGCUCAUCACAUCCUGGGGCUGAAGUCGGUCCCAAGGGUAUGGCUGUUCGCCAUUUAAAGUGGUACGCGAGCUGGGUUUAGAACGUCGUGAGACAGUUCGGUCCCUAUCUGCCGUGGGCGUUGGAUGAUUGAGUGGAGUUGCUCCUAGUACGAGAGGACCGGAGUGAACGAACCGCUGGUGUUCGGGUUGUCAUGCCAAUGGCAUUGCCCGGUAGCUACGUUCGGAACGGAUAACCGCUGAAAGCAUCUAAGCGGGAAGCCGGCCACAAGAUGAGUCAUCCCUCAGACUUUAAGUCUGCUAAAGGGUCGUUGGAGACCACAACGUUGAUAGGUGAGGUGUGGAAGCGCAGUGAUGUGUUAAGCUAACUCAUACUAAUUGCCCGAGAGGCUUAACCAU